GACGUGGCGGAGGCUAACAAUGCUGUUGAAGCGCGCCUUCGGGUGAGCCGCGGACGGUAUAGUAACGCGUGGGAACGUGCCCUUCUCUACGGAAUAGCCUCUGGAAACGGAGAGUAAUACCGUAUACGCCCUUUGGGGGAAAGAUUUAUCGGAGAAAGAUCGGCCCGCGUUAGAUUAGGUAGUCGGUGGGGUAACGGCCUACCAAGCCUACGAUCUAUAGCUGGUUCUAGAGUGAUUGAUCAGCCACACUGGGACUGAGACACGGACCAGACUCCUACAGGAGGCAGCAGUGGGGAAUCUUAGACAAUGUGGGCCAACCCUUAUUUAGCCAAUGACGCGUCAAGUGAUUGAAGCGACUUAAAGGUCCAUAAACAACACGUUUCGACACUGUGAUGGAUUAAUGAACAG
rnacentral:rRNA from 1 species